ensembl:snRNA U4 U4 spliceosomal RNA
GGCUUUGUGCAGUGGCGGUAUCGUAGCCAAUGAUGUUUAUCCGAGGCGUGAUUAUUGCUAAUUGAAAACUUUUCCCAAAAAACAAUAGCAAAAAACAUUUAUAAUUUAUGUGUAUAG